GUGCCAGCAGCCGCGGUAAUACGUAGGGCGCAAGCGUUGUCCGGAAUUAUUGGGCGUAAAGAGCUCGUAGGCGGUUUGUCGCGUCUGCUGUGAAAACUCGAGGCUCAACCUCGGGCUUGCAGUGGGUACGGGCAGACUAGAGUGCGGUAGGGGAGACUGGAAUUCCUGGUGUAGCGGUGGAAUGCGCAGAUAUCAGGAGGAACACCGAUGGCGAAGGCAGGUCUCUGGGCCGCAACUGACGCUGAGGAGCGAAAGCAUGGGGGAGCGAACAGGAUUAGAUACCCUGGUAGUCC
rnacentral:rRNA from 1 species